rnacentral:lncRNA from 1 species
AGAACCGUUGGGCAGUGAAACAGGGGAAGGUUUAAUGAAUAAACUGUACUAAUUAGCUGGGUUAAAAAUUCUGAAAUUUUUAUGGUGAAAUGGUAUAUGAGUCUAGUUUCAGGGAAAAUUUACGGAACUCAAUUUGGAGCCCUGUAGCUCCAGAUAAAAAUAAAUUAGCGACUAUGACGCAGAAAAACAGCUUGCUGGAAAUUGCC